UCUCUCGUAACUCAGUUGGUUAGAGUGUGCGACUGUUAAUCGCGAAGUCACCGGUUCAACUCCGGUCGAGAGAG
rnacentral:tRNA from 2 species